rnacentral:rRNA from 1 species
UUUCCGGUUGAUCCCGCCGGACCCCACUGCUAUCGAGGUGGGACUAAUCCAUGCUAGUCGAACGACCCCGGACCAUGGCGGGGGAGUGGCGGACUGCUCAGUAACACGUAGCUAACCUAACCUCGGGACGGGGACAACCCCGGGAAACUGGGGCUAAUAACCGAUAGGCGUGGGCUCCUGGAAUGGUUCCACGCCCAAAAGUCAGCUCGCCCAUGUCGCGAGCGCACGCCCGAGGAUGGGGCUGCGGCCGAUCAGGCUGUUGGUGGGGUAACGGCCCACCAAACCUUUGACCGGUACGGGCCGUGAGAGCGGUAGCCCGGAGAUGGGCACUGAGACAAGGGCCCAGGCCCUACGGGGCGCAGCAGGGGCGAAACCUCCACAAUGCACGCAAGUGCGAUGGGGCUACCUCGAGUGCCGCCUGAAGAAGGCGGCUUUUCCGCUGUGUAAUGAGCCGCGGGAAUAAGGGGGGGGCAAGACUGGUGUCAGCCGCCGCGGUAACACCAGCCCCCCGAGUGGUGGGGAUGUUUAUUUGGCCUAAAGCGUCCGUAGCCGGCCCGGUAAAUCUCUCGUUAAAUCCAGCGUCCCAAGCGUUGGGCUGCGAGGGAGACUGCCGGGCUAGAGGGUGGGAGAGGUCAGCGGUAUUCUUGGGGUAGGGGCGAAAUCCAUUGAUCCCAGGAGGACCACCAGUGGCGAAGGCUGCUGACUAGGACACGCCUGACGGUGAGGGACGAAAGCUGGGGUAGCGAAUCGGAUUAGAUACCCGAGUAGUCCCAGCCGUAAACGAUGCAGGCUAGGUGUUGGGUUGGUCACGUACCAGCUCAGUGCCACAGGGAAGCCAUUAGGCCUGCCGCCUGGGGGGUACGGCCGCAAGGCUGAAACUUAAAGGAAUUGGCGGGAGAGCACCACCAGGCGUGAAGCCUGCGGUUUAAUUGGAUUCAACGCCGGAAA